GGUUAAGCGACUAAGCGUACACGGUGGAUGCCCUGGCAGUCAGAGGCGAUGAAGGACGUGCUAAUCUGCGAUAAGCGUCGGUAAGGUGAUAUGAACCGUUAUAACCGGCGAUUUCCGAAUGGGGAAACCCAGUGUGAUUCGUCACACUAUCAUUAACUGAAUCCAUAGGUUAAUGAGGCGAACCGGGGGAACUGAAACAUCUAAGUACCCCGAGGAAAAGAAAUCAACCGAGAUUCCCCCAGUAGCGGCGAGCGAACGGGGAGCAGCCCAGAGCCUGAAUCAGUGUGUGUGUUAGUGGAAGCGUCUGGAAAGGCGUGCGAUACAGGGUGACAGCCCCGUACACAAAAAUGCACAUACUGUGAGCUCGAUGAGUAGGGCGGGACACGUGGUAUCCUGUCUGAAUAUGGGGGGACCAUCCUCCAAGGCUAAAUACUCCUGACUGACCGAUAGUGAACCAGUACCGUGAGGGAAAGGCGAAAAGAACCCCGGCGAGGGGAGUGAAAAAGAACCUGAAACCGUGUACGUACAAGCAGUGGGAGCACGCUUAGGCGUGUGACUGCGUACCUUUUGUAUAAUGGGUCAGCGACUUAUAUUCUGUAGCAAGGUUAACCGAAUAGGGGAGCCGAAGGGAAACCGAGUCUUAACUGGGCGUUAAGUUGCAGGGUAUAGACCCGAAACCCGGUGAUCUAGCCAUGGGCAGGUUGAAGGUUGGGUAACACUAACUGGAGGACCGAACCGACUAAUGUUGAAAAAUUAGCGGAUGACUUGUGGCUGGGGGUGAAAGGCCAAUCAAACCGGGAGAUAGCUGGUUCUCCCCGAAAGCUAUUUAGGUAGCGCCUCGUGAAUUCAUCUCCGGGGGUAGAGCACUGUUUCGGCAAGGGGGUCAUCCCGACUUACCAACCCGAUGCAAACUGCGAAUACCGGAGAAUGUUAUCACGGGAGACACACGGCGGGUGCUAACGUCCGUCGUGAAGAGGGAAACAACCCAGACCGCCAGCUAAGGUCCCAAAGUCAUGGUUAAGUGGGAAACGAUGUGGGAAGGCCCAGACAGCCAGGAUGUUGGCUUAGAAGCAGCCAUCAUUUAAAGAAAGCGUAAUAGCUCACUGGUCGAGUCGGCCUGCGCGGAAGAUGUAACGGGGCUAAACCAUGCACCGAAGCUGCGGCAGCGACGCUUAUGCGUUGUUGGGUAGGGGAGCGUUCUGUAAGCCUGUGAAGGUGUGCUGUGAGGUAUGCUGGAGGUAUCAGAAGUGCGAAUGCUGACAUAAGUAACGAUAAAGCGGGUGAAAAGCCCGCUCGCCGGAAGACCAAGGGUUCCUGUCCAACGUUAAUCGGGGCAGGGUGAGUCGACCCCUAAGGCGAGGCCGAAAGGCGUAGUCGAUGGGAAACAGGUUAAUAUUCCUGUACUUGGUGUUACUGCGAAGGGGGGACGGAGAAGGCUAUGUUGGCCGGGCGACGGUUGUCCCGGUUUAAGCGUGUAGGCUGGUUUUCCAGGCAAAUCCGGAAAAUCAAGGCCGAGGCGUGAUGACGAGGCACUACGGUGCUGAAGCAACAAAUGCCCUGCUUCCAGGAAAAGCCUCUAAGCAUCAGGUAACAUCAAAUCGUACCCCAAACCGACACAGGUGGUCAGGUAGAGAAUACCAAGGCGCUUGAGAGAACUCGGGUGAAGGAACUAGGCAAAAUGGUGCCGUAACUUCGGGAGAAGGCACGCUGAUACGUAGGUGAAGCGACUUGCUCGUGGAG
rnacentral:rRNA from 1 species